rnacentral:rRNA from 1 species
UUUCAAGUCUUUAAGAGCAAACGGUGGAUGCCUUGGCAUCUGGAGCCGAAGAAGGACGUAGCAAUCUGCGAUAAGCCUCGGGGAACUGAUAAGCAAGUUUUGAUCCGAGGGUGUCCGAAUGGGGAAACCCCGCUGGGCGGCGUGCCGACCUAGUGACUCCCGCCUGAAUAUAUAGGGCGGGUAGAGGGAACGUGGGGAAGUGAAACAUCUCAGUACCCACAGGAAGAGAAAGCAACCGCGAUUCCGUUAGUAGUGGCGAGCGAAACCGGAUCAGGCUAAACCGAGUGUGUGUGAUAUCCGGCAGGAGUUGCAUAUUCGGGGUUGUGGGACUCACCAGUCAGUUCUGCCGAGCUGGCGACGUUACAGAAGCGUAUAGACGAACGGUCUUGAAAGGCCGGUCAUAGAGGGUGCCAACCCCGUAGUCGAAAUGCGUGUUCUGGCGUGGAGAGUAUCCCAAGUAGCACGGGGCCCGUGAAAUCCCGUGUGAAUCUGUCAGGACCACCUGAUAAGCCUAAAUACUCCCAGAUGACCGAUAGCGGACAAGUACCGUGAGGGAAAGGUGAAAAGUACCCCGGGAGGGGAGUGAAAUAGUACCUGAAACCGUUUGCUUACAAACCGUUGGAGCACCCCUGGUAGGUGUGACAGCGUGCCUUUUGAAGAAUGAGCCUGCGAGUUAGCGAUAUGUGGCGAGGUUAACCCGUGUGGGGUAGCCGUAGCGAAAGCGAGUCUGAAUAGGGCGAUUCAGUCGCAUGUCCUAGACCCGAAGCGAAGUGAUCUAUCCAUGGCCAGGUUGAAGCGACGGUAAGACGUCGUGGAGGACCGAACCCACUUAGGUUGAAAACUGAGGGGAUGAGCUGUGGAUAGGGGUGAAAGGCCAAUCAAACUUCGUGAUAGCUGGUUCUCUCCGAAAUGCAUUUAGGUGCAGCGUUGCGUGUUUCUUGCCGGAGGUAGAGCUACUGGAUGGCCGAUGGGCCCUACAAGGUUACUGACGUCAGCCAAACUCCGAAUGCCGGUAAGUGAGAGCGCAGCAGUGAGACUGUGGGGGAUAAGCUUCAUAGUCGAGAGGGAAACAACCCAGACCACCAACUAAGGUCCCAAAGCGCGUGCUAAGUGGGAAAGGAUGUGGAGUUGCUCUGACAACCAGGAGGUUGGCUUAGAAGCAGCCACCCUUGAAAGAGUGCGUAAUAGCUCACUGGUCAAGUGAUUCCGCGCCGACAAUGUAACGGGGCUCAAGCACGCCACCGAAGUUGUGGCAUUGACAUUAUUGGUAGGCCUUCGUGGUCCAGCCGUGUUGAUGGGUAGGAGAGCGUCGUGUGGCCAGCGAAGCGGCGGUGGAAACCAGCCGUGGAGGCUACACGAGUGAGAAUGCAGGCAUGAGUAGCGAAUGACGUGUGAGAAACACGUCCUCCGAAAGACCAAGGGUUCCAGGGUCAAGCUAAUCUUCCCUGGGUAAGUCGGGACCUAAGGCGAGGCCGACAGGCGUAGUCGAUGGACAACGGGUUGAUAUUCCCGUACCGGCGAAGAACCGCCCAAGCUAAUCCAGUGGUGCUAAACGUCCGAGCCUUCACAUCGUCACCUUCGGGUGACACCGUGGAGGGGAGCACGUGACCCCAUGCUGGUGCGGUUAGCGUAUUAACAGGUGUGACGCAGGAAGGUAGUCCAAGCCAGGCGAUGGUUGUCCUGGUGCAAGUGCGUAGGCCGAGUCGUAGGCAAAUCCGCGACUCAUACAGGCUGAGACACGAUGCGGAUAAAAAGUGGAUGAUCCUAUGCUGCCGAGAAAAGCAUCGACGCGAGGUUCUAGCCGCCCGUACCCCAAACCGACUCAGGUGGUCAGGUAGAGAAUACCAAGGAGAUCGAGAGAAUCGUGGUUAAGGAACUCGGCAAAAUGCCCCCGUAACUUCGGGAGAAGGGGGGCCUU